GUUCCCAAAAGAAGAUAACACAAGAAACCCGUUGUUCCACUUGAACAAGAAGCACCCAAGUCAUCAAGUGGAAAGCAUGAAAAAAUGCGAGCAGAGUUUGCACACCUCGCUGACGGAAAAAGUUCGCGGUUUAGUCGCUAAAAAGCUAAAAAUUAGUCGCAAUGACGCGAACACCCUAUUAUGGUCAACAUUUCCAAAGUAUUAUUAAGAGAUUAUGAGGCGUAUUUAUCAUUCACGAUUGGUCCAUUUUUAGAAGCGUUAUUUUAUGUGACUCUGCGUUUGUUGUACAGUAGAAUGGCACAGUUUGAAAUCAAUGACAAAAUCGACGGUAAAUUGUUCUCUUUCAUCAUCUUUGUAGUCAGUAGCGGUGCUUUAAAAGUGGCAAUUUAAAAGCUAUGAAAAAAACGGGUGUCGCUCCGCGAACAACACGUAGUUCUCCGAACCGGUCCGUUACACAAACAAUGGUUCGGGGACCACCGCUUUACGGGGUCUUUCAAAAUCAGAACAGAAAAUGUUGACUUGGCGAGAUUUGAGAUCUUUUCUUCCCCGCUUUCAUAGUGGAGGCGUUCAUGCGCCAGAAGUGAAAUGAAAGCGAAAGCAGUUCAGAGUUGCUCCACUUGGCAUAAUUCCACACCCGGACCGCACGUGUGUGACAAGAGAAAGAGUUCGGCACUUUGCCAAGCUUUUGCUGCGUCUUGGGCGCUUGUCGCGGACGCCGACUCCGACGCUAGGGGCGGGGAGCUUUUUUUGGCUGCCGGUGUGGCGUUGGUCAACCUCGGCGAGCUCCCCACGGCGCCGGCUCGUUUCCUCGCCUUGCACAACGCGCUCGCCGCCGCCCCGGAGAGCCUCGCCGCCGCCUUGGGGCUCGGCAACCCCCCGUGCGCCGGAGCCUCGCUGUGGGAAGUCGGAGUGCCAGACUCUCCGAGUGGCCGGAGACAGAAGCGCCAAAAGCCGCGAGUUUUGUUCAUGAGGGUGCUUCGCAUGUACAGGCCGGACUUGGCUCUGCUGCUCGGAGGGUGGGAUCCAGAUCCGGUAUUACAUGGGCAAGGUAAUUGACAACCUGCGUGAGGAUUUCGAGCCGGAUGACUUCUUGUCAGCACUGCUUCUCAUGGGCGUGUUCUCAGUGGGAAGGCGAGAAGAAGUAUCCUGACCCCCAAAAUUUCAGAGCCCUGCAUAAUCCAGGCGCAGAUGAAACAUACUUAUCACGUGUACGCCUAAAUGCC